rnacentral:tRNA from 1 species
UCCAGAGUGCCUCAAAUGGUAAAGAGUCUGCCUGUGAUGCAGGAGACCCAGGGUUCAAUCCCUGGCUCAUGAA